GUAGGGAAUAUUGGGCAAUGGAUGCAAGUCUGACCCAGCCAUCCCGCGUGCCGGAAGAAGGCCCUCAGGGUUGUAAACGGCUUUUGACGGUGAAGAAUCGACAGGAUGCGUCCUGUUUUGACGGUAGCCGUUGAAUAAGCACCGGCUAACUCCGUGCCAGCAGCCGCGGUAAUACGGAGGGUGCGAGCGUUGUCCGGAUUUAUUGGGUUUAAAGGGUGCGUAGGCUGGAAGGUCAGUCAGCGGUGAAAAGCUAUCGCUUAACGAUAGUCUUGCCGCAGAUACUUCCUUUCUUGGAUGAGGAGGAGGCCACUGGAACGGAUGGUGUAGCGGUGAAAUGCAUAGAUAUCAUCCAGAACACCGAUUGCGAAGGCAGGUGGCUGUACCUUAAUCGACGCUGAUGCACGAAAGCAUGGGGAGCAAACAGGAUUAGAAACCCGAGUAGUCC
rnacentral:rRNA from 1 species